rnacentral:rRNA from 1 species
GAUGAACGCUAGCUACAGGCUUAACACAUGCAAGUCGAGGGGAAACGAUAGAGAAAGCUUGCUUUUUCUAGGCGUCGACCGGCGCACGGGUGAGUAACGCGUAUCCAACCUGCCCAUCACUUGGGGAUAACCUUGCGAAAGUAAGACUAAUACCCAAUGACGUCUCUCGAAGACAUCUGAAAGAGAUUAAAGAUCUAUAGGUGAUGGAUGGGAAUGCGUCUGAUUAGCUUGUUGGCGGGGUAACGGCCCACCAAGGCGACGAUCAGUAGGGGUUCUGAGAGGAAGGUCCCCCACAUUGGAACUGAGACACGGUCCAAACUCCUACGGGAGGCAGCAGUGAGGAAUAUUGGUCAAUGGGCGAGAGCCUGAACCAGCCAAGUAGCGUGCAGGAUGACGGCCCUAUGGGUUGUAAACUGCUUUUAUAAGGGAAUAAAGUGAGUCUCGUGAGACUUUUUGCAUGUACCUUAUGAAUAAGGACCGGCUAAUUCCGUGCCAGCCGCCGCCGUAA